AGCGAACGCUGGCGGCAGGCUUAACACAUGCAAGUCGAGCGGGCCCUUCGGGGUCAGCGGCAGACGGGUGAGUAACACGUGGGAACGUACCCUUUGGUUCGGAAUAACGCUGGGAAACUAGCGCUAAUACCGGAUACGCCCUUUUGGGGAAAGGCUUGCUGCCGAAGGAUCGGCCCGCGUCUGAUUAGCUAGUUGGUGGGGUAAUGGCCUACCAAGGCGACGAUCAGUAGCUGGUCUGAGAGGAUGAUCAGCCACACUGGGACUGAGACACGGCCCCGACUCCUACGGGAGGCAGCAGUGGGGAAUAUUGGACAAUGGGCGCAAGCCUGAUCCAGCCAUGCCGCGUGAGUGAUGAAGGCCUUAGGGUUGUAAAGCUCUUUUGUCCGGGACGAUAAUGACGGUACCGGAAGAAUAAGCCCCGGCUAACUUCGUG
rnacentral:rRNA from 1 species